rnacentral:lncRNA from 1 species
UCUGGAGCCACCCCUUCUGUCUCUGCAAUACUUCCUGCGCAGUCUGAGUCUGCGCGGGUCCCUCUCUUUGCCCCCGCCCUUCUCUCCGGCGGCGCGAUGGUACAAAUGGGGGAGCGACACAUUCCUCAGCUCGUCUCUCUCUGCACGCUGUUACCAGGAGGGGAGACCAGCUCUCCUACUGGCAGACCCCGUAUGCUAAUGGACUCUUGGAAAUGUAAUGAAUAUGUAUACGAAUUCUGGGUAAAUCAUUGAUUAUGUAUUAGUUCUGCCUAUAUCUGUACCAAGCUUUUGUCCUACAGUGUGCAAGUCAGGAGGAGUGAUCCCCCUUGCACCCAGCACUCGCGCAUCGCUGAAUAAAUGCAUACCUGCUUUAUAACCUAACUCUGGGUUAUAGAGUUUGAUUCCACAAGUCAGAGGUGUCGACUCAAGACCAAAAUACAGCCUGUAUCUUACCAUGGAGGGCAGAACUACCCCUCCUUGUACCUAUUAAACAUCUGUUUUACUCCCCUUGAGGUUAUAAGUUCACAGGACAGCUGGCAGGAGCAACAUCACUCCAGGUUGCUUCAGUGUCCAUGAGGAAACAUCAUGACACCCUGUUGUGCACAGCUGAACUUUUGGGAACUGGCGAGUGUGUAUCAGAACUGCUACUGGUCCUUGAAGAAGAUAUGCCUCAAGAAAGAACAUCAAGUGCUGGCCCAACAGAACCGCAGAAAAGACUGCCAAUAAUUGCCUUUAUUGUCUUAACAUUCUACACUGCGGUGGGUAUUGUACAUGUGUCACAAUGUACAUGGAAAUUGGAAAAUACAAGCCACGAAACUGCAGGAGCUCACCCCCUACCUGCUCAGUCAUUGGUUCAUACUGUGAAGGGGUGGAGUGUAGUGGAAUUUCAAGGUCACAGCCUGAACCAAUACAUGAGCAUGUGACUGCCUGGAGUGGGGGAGGACGGGCUAGCGCUACAUUUUUUGUCUCAGUGAUGCUUCUGGGAGCAUGUGUGCAAUCUGAGCCUGCGUGGGUUCCCCUUCCCCCACCCUUCUCUCUUGUGGCUCGAGUAUGAAUGGGAGAAAGCUGCAUUCCUCAGCUUGCCCCUUUCUCCAGACUGUUACUGGGAGGGGCGUCAUGGUUUUAUGAUUCUUGUUUAUUGGUAUUCCACAUCAUAACAUCAUGUAGUGCACUGGGAGUUAAAGAGUUAAUGCUCCAGUUCUGGGCACCUGUCUGCUAGAGAAGAGCUACAUUGCUGAAGAGCAGAUUGCUGUGGAGACCAGCUUCAGGGCAGGUAAGACUGCACUGGGUAAGGGACCUAAAGCAAAAAGGCCAACCAAAAAGCUCUUUUUAGGGCUUUUUUGAAGCCAGCAAAAGCACUGUGCUGGUGCCAGGGGGCUGGCAGCUUGUGGGCAGGCUGUUGAGCCAGCAGGGGUCGAGCUGGCACUGCCCACUCUUGAGCUUGACCCUUUGCUGUGAGGCUAAAAGCAGCCCACAUAAUGUGCCAGGUGAGAAAAGGGUGUUACUAUCUACUGACAACAGGGAGGGAAGUCAGAGUGUGAGCACAGCCUACACUGCCCAUACAAUACUGCAGCAGCAGGUGUGGGUGGUGGGUCUUGAGGCAGGACACGUGAGUGCUUUUGUCUUUGCUCAGGAGACCAGCUCUCCUACUGGCAGACCCUGAGACCCCCAGGUUCAAACAUGGUCUCUACCAGACAGUGGACUUGCCCCAAGAAGACUGCCGACCCAGACAGAGGGCCUGCCCAGAAAUGUGGCUGUGCAGGUCUCUGCCUACAGGGAGUGUCUGAGCCUGCUGCUGCCAGGGGAGGAUAAGAAGGAUGCCACCUGUGUGAGGUGCAAGCAGGUAGAUGAGCUGCUCAGCCUGGUGGUAGAGCUCAGGGAGGAGGUGGAGAGAUUAAGAACUAUCAGAGAGUGCGAGCGGGAGAUUGACUGGUGGAGUGACUCUCUGAGAGAAAGAUGCAGAGAUUGCACUCCCCCAAACCAUAGUGGACCCUCUCCCUUGCUGCAGUCAAGCACAGAGAGCCGACUCGAGAGGAGGAAUGGCAGCAGGUACCAGCUCGGAGACGCAGGUGACCCCCACCCCAACCUACCUCGGUUCCCCAGGUGUCUCUACAUAAUAGGUUUGAUGCCCUGAAACUGGAGGGAGAGGUGAGUGAGGAUAAGGGGGGAAGACUGCCUCCAAGUGUGACUAAGGUGAGGAGGUCAGCUCCAUGCUCAAAGACUGCCUCCUCCAAAAAAGAAAGGAGGGUGAUAGUUGUAGGUGACUCCCUCCUGAGAGGAACAGAGGGUCCAAUAUGUUGGCCUGACCCUACCUGUAGGAAGGUGUGCUGCCUCCCUGGGGCCCGGGUCAGGGAUAUUUCUAGAAAACUUCCUGGUCUGAUCCACCCCUCUGAUUACUAUCCAUUAUUGGUAGUUCAGGCUGGCAGUGAUGAAGUUGCUGACAGAAGCCUGAGGGCUAUAAAAAAUGAUUUUAGGGGACUGGGGAGGUUAGUUGACAAUGCAGGCAUACAAGUAGUAUUUGCAGGUAUUCCUACAGUGGCAGGGAAAGACAAUGCAAUGACCAGGAAAACCCAUCGCAUAAACACAUGGCUGAGAGGUUGGUGCAAACUCAAGAAUCUUGGGUUCCUUGAUCAUGGGGUGGUCUACUCGGCACCUGGCCUGAGGUCUGCAGAUGGGUAUCACCUGUCUCAAAGGGGGAAACAGAUCCUUGCCCAGGAGCUGGCAGGACUUGUAGAGAGGUCUUUAAACUAGACAUGAGGGGGGAAGGGGAUAAAACCAGGCCUGCUAGAUAUGAGCCUGGGGGAGGGGUCUGGAGCACAGGCCUUAUGAGGAGUGGCUGGAGGAGCUGAGAUUGUUCAGUGUAGAGAAGAGGAGGCUCAGGGGAGACCUUUUUGCUCUCUCUGAAGGGAGGUUGUAGUGAGCUGGGGGUCAGCCUCUUCUCUCGUGUGACUAGUGAUAGGACUAGAGGGAAUGGCUUCAAGCUGCACCACAGAAGGUUCAGGCUGGACGUUAGGAUAUACUACUUCUCUGAAAGAGUGGUCAGGCACUGGAAUGGGCUGCCCUGGGAGGUGGUGGAGUCACCAACCCUGGAGGUGUUCAAGGAACGUUUGGACACUGUGUUGGGGGACAUGGUUUAAUGAGAACUAUUGGUGAUGGGUGGAUGGUUGGACUGGGUGAUACUGUGAGUCUUUUCCAACCUUGGUAAUUCUAUGAUUCUAAGUUAAGCCUUUGGCAAUGCAUGCUUUUCGAGCUAUAUCAGAGGCUGGAAAACAAAGGCAGUCUUUUGUUAGCAUUAAACAACAGCCCCAAGAACCGUAUAUGACAUUUCUGGAUAGGCUUAAGAACUCAUUGGAAAAACAGGUCUGAGAUGUGUACCAGCAUGAUGGGUCUAGCCCUCCGUCUCAUCACCUGCUGUAACAUGAUCACCAAGCUUUCAUCUGCAGUUUGGAUUCUUGACAAAAGACAGGACAAGACACACUUUGCUUGUCAACUCUGUCACCAGCGAACCAUAAGAAUUGGAAUUGUUUGGAUUGGUUAAAAUGGACUAUUGUUUGUACUUAACUAUAGUGGAAAGAACCAAUCGUUCGUUCAGUAUGUUAACUUUAGUAUAGCUGCUUAUAGGAAUGUUUCUGAACCGUGCCUUUUUUUACGGCAGCAGCUACUUGCGCCAGAUAUAAACACACAUGAGG